GCAGCACGCAGUCGUUAACCCUGUGAAAGAAAAGGAGAUGGAUACUGCCACCUCCUGCCGUUCCUGUCCCUGAAAUGACAGAGGACCCAUUUUGAUCCAGCGGGACGAGGCACACUGCUGCAUCUGACAGCCAUGGCCACAGAGACAGGCAGCAAACAAGACAGCUGAGAAAAGACUUCGCUUUAUUAUUUUCUAUAAUUAAUGAGCAACAGUCGCAACAAAUUAGGACAGAGGGAGGCUGAGGCCUCCCAGUGUGCUGCUCUGGAGCCAAGAGGAGUACACUGGGCCUUACCACCAAAAGUUACACACCCACAGACCUUUUAAAGUGUGUCUGUGCAUAGUUUAUUUAAGCUUUCUACAUGGAGAAAUGCCACUUAGAGCGGAAGGGGCAAAGAGAUAUGCUGCAUCUACCGUGGGUUCGCAGAUGCAUCUAUACGUGGGUGGAAUAAUGAGAGCAGAAAUGUACAGUAUAGCUCUGCCACUAAACCUGAGCCACCGCUGACAAGUGCAGCGGUGGCUGCUAAACAAUUGCACAGGAAGGUGCUUUACAUUUCUGGUGUCUGCUGAUGACAUGUGUAUCAGGAUUAUGUAAAAAGCCAUGCCUAGCUGGCGUUAAUGUGGGUCACAUAGGACAUCACACUUACGACGUUGCUAAUGCAGUGAGAAAACGCCUGUCUUCACUUGCAUAAAAUUUUAUAUAAAUUAACAAUCA